rnacentral:rRNA from 1 species
UCUAAGUUUGAUGGCGACCGGCGCACGGGUGAGUAACACGUAUCCAACCUGCCGAUGACUCGGGGAUAGCCUUUCGAAAGAAAGAUUAAUACCCGAUGGCAUAGUUCUUCCGCAUGGUGGAACUAUUAAAGAAUUUCGGUCAUCGAUGGGGAUGCGUUCCAUUAGGUUGUUGGCGGGGUAACGGCCCACCAAGCCUUCGAUGGAUAGGGGUUCUGAGAGGAAGGCCCCCCACAUUGGAACUGAGACACGGUCCAAACUCCUACGGGAGGCAGCAUG